rnacentral:rRNA from 1 species
CCCUUAGAUGUCCUGGGCUGCACGCGCGCUACACUGAUGUGUCCAGUAAGCACCUAACCUCUUCCGAAAGGAACGGGUAACCUUUGCAAAGCACAUCGUGAUGGGAUAGAUUAUUGCAAUUAUUAGUCUUGAACGAGGAAUUCCUAGUAAGCACAAGUCAUCAGCUUGUGUUGAUUACGUCCCUGCCCUUUGUACACACCGCCCGUCGCUCCUACCGAUUGAAUGUUCCGGUGAGCUCUUCGGACUGCGCGGUCUGCAGUUUCUGCGUUCCGUGCGGAAAGUUGCGCAAACCUUAACAUUUAGAGGAAGGAGAAGUCGUAACA